UUUUUUUUUUUCCAAAAAAUGUGGUAAAAUACAUAUAACAUGAAUUUACCAUUUUAAUCAUGUUUAAUUAUCCAAUUCAGUGGCUUUAAUUAAAUUCAGAAUUCUAGGUAUAUUAUGCUUGCUGUUUAAUCAUCACCACUAUUUCCAGAACACUCUUCAUUUUGCAAAACUGAAACUCUGUAUCCAUUAAACAGUAACUCUUUAUUCACACCUCUCUUAGCUCCUGACAAUCUCCAUUCUUUUUUCUAUGAACUUCAAUGAUCUUGAUAUCUAAAUGGAAUAAUGCAGUGUUUAUCCCUUUGUUACAGACAUUUCAAAAUGUAUAAUGUCCUCAAAGUUCAUCCACUUUAUACAUAUGUCAGAAUUUAUUUCACUUUUAAGGAUGAAUAAUGUUCUAGUAUACAGGAUACCUUAUUUUAUCAUGCUUUGCCUUAUUACACUUCACUGAUACUGCAUUUUAUUUUUAAUUUUGUGAACAACUCAUACAACUCAACAACAACAAAAACAACCCAAUUGAAAAAUGGGCAAAAGACCUAAAUAGACAUUUCUACAAAGAAGACAUACAAAUAUCCAACAGGCACAUGAAAAGAUGCUCAACAUCACUAAUUAUUAGACAAAUGCAAAUCGAAACUACAAUGAGGCACAGCUUCACACCAGAUAGAAUGGCCCUCAUUAACAAGCCUACAAAUAACAAAUGCUAUAGAGGGUUUAGAGAAAAGAGAACACUUCUACACUGGCAGUGAGAAUAUAAAUUGGUACAACCACUAUGGAAAAUAGUAUGCAGGUUCCUCAGAAAACUAAAUACAAAACUAUCAUAGGGGCCAGCAAUCCAACUCCUGGGCAUAUAUAUGGACAAAACCAUAAUUCAGAAAGUUUUGUGCGCCCCUAUGUUCACUGCAUCACUAUUCACAUUAUCCAAGAUAUGGAAACAACCUAAAUGUCUAUUGACAGAUAAAUGAAUGGAUUAAGAAGAUGUGGAACAUAUGCAUAAUGGAAUACUACUCAACCAUUAAAAAAAAGAAUAAAAUAAUGCCAUUUGCAGCAAUGUGGAUGCAACCAGAGAUUCUCAUACUCAGUAAAGUGAGUCUGAAAAAGACAAAUACUAUAUGAUAUUACUUAUAUGUGGAAUCUAAAAUAUAGCACAAAUGAACCUGUCUACAGAACAGAAGCAGACUCACAGACAUAGAGAACAGACUUGUGGUUGCCAAGAGGGAGAGGGGAGGAAGUGGGAUGGAUGGGGAGAUUGGGGUUGCUAGAUGCAAACUACUACAUUUAGAAUGGAUAAACAAUGAGGUCUUACUGUACAGCACAGAGAACUAUAACCAAUCUCUUAGAACAGAACAUGCUGGAAGAUAGUAUGAGAAAAAGAAUACAUAUGUAUAUAUUUGACUGGGUAACUAUGGUGUACAGUAGAAAUUGACACAAUACUAUAAACCAACUAGACUUUAAUAAAAACAACAACAACAAAAUCAGGCUGUUAUUUUGUACUUGAAGGAAUUCUUUAUAUAUUCUGGCCCAUUAACUUCUUUUCUUUUAUUUUUUUUUUGCAAAUAUUUUCUCCCAUCUAGUGAAUUUUUUCACUUUGUUGAUAGUGUCCUUUCAGUCAUGGACAUUUUAAAUUUUGGUGUAGCAGAAUUUAUGUGUGUUUUCUUUUGUUGCUUGUAUUUUUGAUGUCCUAUCCAAGAAAUUACUGUCAAAUCCAAUGUCAUGAUUUCUACUUGUGUUUUCUUCUGAGAUUUUUAUAGUUUUAGCUCUUAUAUUUACUCUUUUGAUACAUUUUGAGUUGAUUUUUGUAUAUGAUAUAAAAUAAUGACCCAACUUCAUUUUUUUCAUGUGGACAUCAAAUUCUCUAUUUAAAAACCACUGGUCUACAUAUCUGUCUUUAUGUUGGUAGAACAGAGCUUUGAUUACUAGAUUUGUACUAAGUUUUGAAAUAAGGAUAUGUGAGGCAUCUAAUUUGUUCUUUAUUAUUGUUGUUUUGGCUUUUUGGGAUCUUGACUGUGAACUGAAUAUUUGCAUUCCUCCAAAUUCAGAUGUUGAAACCUAAUGCCCAAUGUGAUAUUAUUAAAAGGUGAGCUCUUUUGGAGGUAUUUAGUGGAAACUUCUUGAAUAGAGUUGAUGUACUUAAAAAAAGACCACACAAGAGCUCUUUUUUUUCCUUUGUUUUGAUUUUUUGUCUCUUUAGGGCCACACCCACAGCACAUGGAGGGUCGCAGGGAGGGGCAGAAUCACAGCUACAGCUGCUGGCCUACUCCAGAGCCAUAGCAAUGCCAGAUCUGAGCCAUGUCUGUGACCUACACCACGGCUCACAGCAACGCUGGAUCUUUAACCCAUUGAGUGAGGCCAGGGAUUGAACCUACAACCUCAUGGUUCCUAGUCAGAUUCAUUUCCACUGCACCAGGAUGGGAACUCCCCACAAGAGCUCUUGAGUCCAACUUCCAUCACUUGAAGAUAUAGGGAAAAGAUGAUCAACUAGAAUCAAAAGCUCCAUUCCAGGCCCACUGAGUCAUAAUUUACACUUUAAUGAAGAUCCACAGGUGAUUUUUAUGCACUUCCCUGGAACAACUUUUCUGACUUUUAUUUUUAUUGGGUUUGUUUUAAUCAUAUAUAUUUCUAAUAAUAUAUAUACAUAUUAAAUUUUCCUAUCACCCAUCUCAACUCAAAUUCCAUCAAGUGACCCUUUAUUUGUUACCUUAACUGAGGGUCAUUCCUAUAAAUAUUCCAUUUUUGGUUUCACAGAGUCUUUGUCCUCAGGAGAGUUAAGAAAUAUUUUAGUAAUAUAAAUGUUUUUCUAUUGAUUUUAGCUUUUUGACAUAUCCUCAAGUUGGCUUGAAAACUCAUAACUUAUUCAAAACCUAUUAUUCUAUUGAAAGGUAUGAACUUGGAAAUUACACUUACUGGAUUUUUUUUUUAAAUGGCUACACCAGAGGCAUAUGGAAUUUUCUGGGACAGGGACUGAAUCUGAGCCAUAGCUAUGACCUGUGCCACAGCUGCAGCAAUGCCAGCACCUUAACCCCACUGCACAUGGCUGGGAUCAAACCUGUGCCUAUGAAGUGAUCCAAGACACUGCAGUCAGAUUCUUAAAGUACUGAACCACAAUGAGAACUCCUGGAUAUUUUAACUGAACCUGCUACUUACUAUGGGCCUGAGAGAGUUAUUUAAUCUAUCCGGAGUGUUUUUCAUUGGUCUUUGGUGAAGAUUAGAUGGCAGAGCUUAUUAAAAGCCUAUAUGCUAUGCUCUCUUUAUAUUAGCUUGGUAAAUUACAGCCACUAGCUCAUACUUCUAUUGCCUUGCAUUAAACAGAGGAAGCAUAACUCUUGUGGGAGUCUGCCAAUUUCUCCAUUUUAAUUCUUUCUUUCUUUUGGAGUAGUAAAAUCUGUGAUUUUUACUAAAUCAUGUACUUGCCUACAGACUGUUUCCAAGCUUUUUUGAAUGUGGUCAUGUGAAAAAAUGAAAGCGUUAUUUGUAACAGGAGGGCAGUUUCAUUAAAGCAAAUGACAUUUCUCCCCUAUAUCACCCUUUCUUUUUAUCUUACUUGCUGUUUGGAGUGUGGCUGUGUUCAGUGGACCUAGAGCAGGCUUCUCGAAUCACGAGUUGUGAAAUUCAUAGUGACAUUCACAGAAAAACAGGAUAAAAAUACUGUAUUUUGGGGCAUCAUUAGUUAUUGUAUCAACUCUGUGCUAUCUAUCUGACUUUAAAUUACAAAUCGACUUUUAUCUUUUUAAGUUAUUAAGAUUUUGUAUUUUUGGUUGUUCAGAGCUGAAAUGAGUCUUAAUUAAUACAAAAAUUUGACUAAAAGAAUAACACAUACAAGAAUAAGUGAGAUGGUAAACAGAUUAAGAAAAUAUGGUUUCAGAGUUCCCGUCACGGCACAGCAGAAACAAAUCCAUCUACGAACCAUGAGGUUGUGGGUUCGACCCCUGGCCUCACUCAGUGGGUUAAGGAUCCAGUGUUGCUGUGAGCUAUCAUUUAGGUUACAGAUGCAGCUCAGAUGUGGCACUGCUUUGGCUCUGGGGUAGGCCGGUAGCUAUAACUCUGAUUUGACCCCUAGCCUGGGAACCUCCAUGUGCCAUGGGUAUGGCCCUAAAAAUAAAUAAAUAAAUAAAUAAAUAAAAUAUGGUUUCAAAUCAUAGCUCAGGAGUUACUAUUAGGGCUCAGCAGGUCAUGAACCCAACUAGUACCCAAUACGAUGCAUGUUUGAUCCUUGGCCUUGCUCAGUGGGUUAAGGAUCCAGCAUUGUCGUGAGUUCUGGCAUAGGUCACUGACGUGGCUCAGAUCCUACGAUGCUGUGGCUGUGGUGUGGGCUGGGAGCUGCAGCUCUGAUUGGAGCCCUCACUGGGAAACCACUGGUGUGGCCUUAAAAAGUAAAAAAAUAAUAAUCAUAGCUCAACCUUUAGGUUAAAUGAAAGUAUAUUUACGCAUUAUUUUACUCAAUAUACACCUUUUAAAGGAUAUAUGAUAAUGAUAAUAUGCAAAUAUUGUGAGAAUUAAACAAGAUAAAUUACAUGCAGGGUAUAGAAUAGGAACCAGUAAAUUAAUCCCUGCAGCCAAUUUGUGGCCUGUAGAUCAUACCUUGUCUUCUGUCUGUUGUGAAUAAUUUCGAUAAAUAAAAUUUUAUUGGAACACAGCCACAUCAUUUGUUUACAUAUUGUUUUUGCUACCUUCAUGCUAGAAUGGCAAAGUUGCAAUAGAUAUCUUAUGGUCCAUAGAGCCUAAAAUAUUUAUUAUUUGGCCGUUUACAGAAAAACUGCAAACUCUGAUUGAGGACACAGAAACUGAUUAUUUGAUUAUUUAUUCUCUCUCUAUGAAAUUCUUAUAGUAAAGUAUUGUCUUGUUUGUAAAAUGAUUACAUCACCAAUCAGCCCUCAAUUAUGCAUAUGUUUAGUGACAGUUUUGCAGUGAUAGAUAUAAUAUUUUACUAAUCCAGAUUAUUGACCUAAUCCCUUUGAGGCCAAUGACAUCCAUCUAGAUAUGUAUUACAGAUUCAGUCUGUGGCCUCAGAGCAGAGAAUAAUAGAUUGGACAAUACCAGAUGAAACACAUGAUCUAUUAAUUACUAUUAUGGGUUAAAAUGCUAGGUUUAUGUAAGCCCUUUCCCAGGUAAUAUACGAUUCUUCUCCUCAUGGGAUGCAAUCCACUAACCUUUAAAUAUUAGAAGGCUGCCAAGCGUAAUCAAUCAUUUUAAACCCAAUUGAAUCGAUCUACCUCAGGCACUAAAAAUCAAUGAUUCAAAUGAAAAAAGCAUCCUCCAACAAUAACCUGUAGUAAUGUUAAAAGAUCAGCUCUUUCUUAUAUAGCUAACACACCAUUUGAUUUGAAGGAAUCUUAUUUACCUUUAUUAGAAACCACCCUACACCCUACUGUUUUCCAUGUAUCUUGCUUUGAUUCUCAUUGCAAAACUUUUCAGAUUGAUUAACUAAAGUGAAUAUAUCAGCCAUUACAAUAACAGAACUUUCAAACCAGAGUCAUGGUUUGUUUCCCAAGAAAUAUUCUCAGGCAGUGUGGCAUUUCUCAGUAAACUAUAAGCACUUAAGUUUGAGGCUUAGCUCUUUAAUGGACCUCUGUCAUCUCUACGUAAAUUAAUCACAUUCACCUCUAUUAUGGAUUUUAAAUUGUAACUGCUUUAUUAUAGCAAAGUUUUCAAUGUGCCCUUUUGCAGAUUUCACUUCUUUUAUUUAUAAACUUGAGGAACUGUUCAAUUUAACUUGCUGCAAUAUUUUGUUCAACAUAUGGUAAAAUACUCUGCCACUUUGGGAUACAGGUUUAAAUAACACAUGAUUCCUCCUCUCAGCUAAAAAUGUAAUGUCUUUGAUACAUAUAUGCAUAUAUACAUAGUUUAAGGUAAUGAAAUGAGUGAAGCCCCUCAGUGUGGGAAAUCCUUAAAACAAAUGGGUCAGUUUAUUGUACCUCAAAUAAUAGCUUUUUUGAUCACUUGUGUUAGGAUACUGGGUAGGUCUUUUCUGAGCCUCUGCUCUCUUAUCUGUAAAAAAAUAAAGGUUAUUUGAUGUACUUACUUUUUUCAGUUAAGAUUAAACAAGAUGGUACAUGUCAGUUGGCCUUUGAUUAAUAUUAGUUCUUCUUAAUAUUAGUCACUUCUCUACUUCAAAUAUAUCUAGAGGCAUGGAAGAGUGAUUCUCAGGGUAGAAAUGUUAUUAAAAAUACAGGCAUCAAAUUUAAAACAGGUAAAACAGGCCAUCCCUUGAAGCUGAAGCAUGGGAGGCAAGACUUUUGAGAAUACAAGGCAGUCUUCUCAAUCUGGACAUGUUUGUGAAAUGGUGAAGAAGGAAACAAGACUGGCUAGUUUCAUGAAAAGGAAAGAGUUAAUGGGAAAGAAAAGUAUAAUGAAAUAUCACAAUGUUGUGAUUAGAAUAAUUAAUGGAAUAUAGUAGCAUUUCAAUAAAUGUUUGUUGAAUGGAUGUUAAAUGACUUUUGACAAAUGUAUUUUUACCCUACUUCUUUGUGUCAGUUAUUACUAAUGAGAUGGCAACAGGUUCCUAUCCUUUGCAAAGUCUUUAUGUUAGUGCAAAGAGGCAGGUAACUUACCAAAUGUC
rnacentral:lncRNA from 1 species